GAUGAAGACGCAGCGAAAUGCGAUAAGUAAUGUGAAUUGCAGAAUUCAGUGAAUCAUCGAAUCUUUGAACGCACAUUGCGCCCGCCAGUAUUCUGGCGGGCAUGCCUGUUCGAGCGUCAUUUCAACCCUCAAGCCCAGCUUGGUGUUGGGGAUCGGCACAGGCGCCCUCGGGCGCCCGCCGUCCCCUAAAUCUAGUGGCGGUCCCGCUGCAGCCUCCUCUGCGUAGUAGUUUUCUCCUCGCAAGGGCAGCUCGGUGGCGACCUCGCCGUAAAACCCCCAACUUCUGAAAGGUUGACCUCGAAUCAGGUAGGAAUACCCGCUGAACUUAAGCAUAUCAAUAAGCGGAGGA
rnacentral:misc_RNA from 1 species